rnacentral:rRNA from 1 species
UACGUAGGGUGCAAGCGUUGUCCGGAAUUAUUGGGCGUAAAGAGCUCGUAGGCGGUUUGUCGCGUCGGGGGUGAAAACCUUGGGCUUAACUCAGGGCUUGCUUUCGAUACGGGCAGACUAGAGGUAUGCAGGGGAGAACGGAAUUCCUGGUGUAGCGGUGAAAUGCGCAGAUAUCAGGAGGAACACCGGUGGCGAAGGCGGUUCUCUGGGCAUGAUCUGACGCUGAGGAGCGAAAGUGUGGGGAGCGAACAGG